ACCGAUAAAUCUGCCGAUAAGAUACAAAUGGUGUGUUCCAUUUGAGAAGAAGGACUUUGUGGGCUUGGACACAGACAGCAGGCACUAGAAGAAACGCUGUCAGGGCCGCACGAGGAAGCACGUCGGGAUCUGUGUUUGCAGGCAGGCAUGCUGCAGGACGCCCUCGUACAUUAUCACAUGGCUGUAGAGCUGCUGCGGGCUUGUGUUCUGCGUCUGUCAUCUUCCAUUACCCAGGAUGCACCUGGCGUCUCCUCUGCUGCUGACACUGGAAAGAGACACAGACCUGGUGCUCUGACGACAGGUGGCAUCAGUGCAGACACAAGCAGUGAGAUCGGCCGAACCAAGAACUGCCUGAGUCAGGAGGACAUCAUGGAGAAAAACAAGGAGGCC